UCCAGCAGCCGCGGUAAUACGUAGGUGGCAAGCGUUGUCCGGAAUUAUUGGGCGUAAAGCGCGCGCAGGUGGUUUCUUAAGUCUGAUGUGAAAGCCCACGGCUCAACCGUGGAGGGUCAUUGGAAACUGGGGAACUUGAGUACAGAAGAGGAAAGUGGAAUUCCAAGUGUAGCGGUGAAAUGCGUAGAGAUUUGGAGGAACACCAGUGGCGAAGGCGACUUUCUGGUCUGUAACUGACACUGAGGCGCGAAAGCGUGGGGAGCGAACAGGAUUAGAUACCCUGGUAGUCCACGCCGUAAACGAUGAGUGCUAAGUGUUAGAGGGUUUCCGCCCUUUAGUGCUGCAGCUAACGCAUUAAGCACUCCGCCUGGGGAGUACGGUCGCAAGAC
rnacentral:sRNA from 1 species